rnacentral:rRNA from 1 species
UACAGAGGGGGCAAGCGUUGUUCGGAAUUACUGGGCGUAAAGGGCGCGUAGGCGGCGUGCUAAGUCGAACGUGAAAUCCCCGGGCUCAACCCGGGAACUGCGUCCGAGACUGGCAGGCUUGAAUCCGGGAGAGGGAUGUGGAAUUCCAGGUGUAGCGGUGAAAUGCGUAGAGAUCUGGAGGAACACCGAUGGCGAAGGCAGCCUUCUGGGCCAACACUGACGCUCAUGCACGAAAGCGUGGGGAGCAAACAGG